rnacentral:rRNA from 1 species
UACGUAGGGCGCAAGCGUUGUCCGGAAUUAUUGGGCGUAAAGAGCUCGUAGGCGGUUUGUCGCGUCUGCUGUGAAAACCUGAGGCUCAACCUCGGGCUUGCAGUGGGUACGGGCAGACUAGAGUCCGGUAGGGGAGUGGGGAAUUCCUGGUGUAGCGGUGAAAUGCGCAGAUAUCAGGAGGAACACCUAUUGCGAAGGCAGCUCGCUGGGACGUUACUGACGCUGAGGCGCGAAAGCGUGGGGAGCAAACAGG